rnacentral:rRNA from 1 species
ACGCGUAGAAUCUGCCUUCAGGUUCGGGACAACCACUGGAAACGGUGGCUAAUACCGAAUGUGCAGCAAUGUGAAAAAUUUAUUGCCUGAAGAUGAGCUCGCGUCUGAUUAGCUAGUAGGUGUGGUAAGAGCGCACCUAGGCGACGAUCAGUAGCUGGUCUGAGAGGAUGAUCAGCCACACUGGGACUGAGACACGGCCCAGACUCCUACGGGAGGCAGCAGUGGGGAAUUUUCCGCAAUGGGCGAAAGCCUGACGGAGCAAUACCGCGUGAGGGAGGAAGGCUCUUGGGUUGUAAACCUCUUUUCUCAAGGAAGAAAAAAAUGACGGUACUUGAGGAAUAAGCAUCGGCUAACUCCGUGCCAGCAGCCGCGGUAAUACGGAGGAUGCAAGCGUUAUCCGGAAUGAUUGGGCGUAAAGCGUCCGCAGGUGGCUAUGUAAGUCUGCUGUUAAAGAGUCUGGCUCAACCAGAUAAAGGCAGUGGAAACUACAUGGCUAGAGUGCGUUCGGGGCAGAGGGAAUUCCUGGUGUAGCGGUGAAAUGCGUAGAGAUCAGGAAGAACACCGGUGGCGAAAGCGCUCUGCUAGGCCGCAACUGACACUGAGGGACGAAAGCUAGGGGAGCGAAAGGGAUUANAUACCCCUGUANUCA